GAGUGUGAAGACUCACGCUUAAAUUGAAGAACAAGUGGAUUUCGCGAGAAGUUCAUGAGAAGCUAUCCUGCGAAGUAGCCAUGUGUAGAGCACAUGACUGAAAUGUGAAGAGUCAUGACAGCCUAGAGUUUUCAUGAAUGUCUCGCAAAUGUCUCCUCUCAAGCAAUCGGCCACAAAGAAGUCCUCAAAGCCCCAACGCACUUCCAUGGAUAAAUUCUGAACCGAUGAUGCGGACAUGGCCUACAACGACUACUACAAAAGGGCUCUGAUCAUCCUAGAACAGACUGUGGAGUUAGAAUCCCUUGAAAACACUUUCAUUCCUGAAGUGUUCAAAGAACGGACGUGGACAAGGUUGAUGCACCUAAUUGGGAAUGUCUAUGCCGAUGUUAUUAGGGAGUUCUAUGCUAAUGCUGUUGUGGAAGGGGAGCGUAUCAACUGCUAGCUGAGGGGGAGAGAGUUCUAUGUCACACGAGAGUCCAUCCAAGAGAUCUUGGAGGUUCGUCCAAUGACCUCACACACAUCUCUCCACUAUGAUGAGAGAAGGGGCUCACUUGUACCACUUGUGGACAUCCUUGGUGGUGAAAUCAGAAAGAACGCAGUGAACACCAUUCCAUUCACCCUAGGGAUGAGGACAUUGGUCUACAUCAUGAUCUUCAACCUCUACCUGGCGAAGAAUUUGACUACAUUGUCAGCACCAAAGGCCAUUUUUCUGCUUGAUCUCUUCACACACAAGGAGAUCAACAUUUGCAGUUACAUCUACUACCUCUUCACCAAGUGCAUCACAAAGAGGAAUUCGAGGUUGGUCUUGCCAUUUUCAAGUCUCGUCAUGGCUCUUAUAGCAAGGGCAAGGGUGAAGAUUCCUAGUGGUCUUCCCGUGAUGCAAAGGGAUUAUCCAAUUAAUGCUCAGACCAUGACCCGAAGCAAAGCCCAUAUCACCGGACCAUCUGUUGGUAUUUCUCAAAUCCCAAGGGACAAUGUUGAGGAAGAAGGUGGGGACAUGGAAGAAUAGAUAGAGAGGUUCACAUCAGCUCCAGAGGACAUUGCACAACCCUCUUCUAAAGCACGUGCAUGGGCACCCGAUCAUCUUAAUCAUCUCAUUGCAAGGGUUGAAUAGAUAUAUGGUAUGCUAGAAUCCCAUGUGCAACACUCCACAACUCAAUUCACCUACCUAGAAGGCCAGAUCACUGCACUCUCGUCUCAGAUUGACGAUAUGAUGAUGGACCAAUAGCGGCAGCAGGAGGAGGACUCGGAUUUGGAAUUCGCACAGUUCUAACCUCUUUGGCCAUUCCGGUCAAAAAGGGGGAGUAGUUUGAGGGGGAGUAGCAUAGCUUGAAGGGGAGCAUAGAGUAGCAUAUCAUAGAGCAUUGGUUCAUUUUGGUGGUUUAGUAGUUUACUUUUUAAAGUUUUUAUAACUUAUGGAUAUUUACAUUGCUUUCUUUUAAAGCUUUAAAGUACUUUAGUUUAAAUUCAAUUUAUCUUUAGUACUA